GACGGACCGGGCUCCAACGAAAAUACACACAGGGGAAAUAUAUCAGUCUACUAGCCUAGUGCAAAAACCUGGAAGAGAGAGUGCACCACAGAGACUGCAGGUUAGGCACCAGGUCAGUGGGGGCCGUUGGAUUAUAUCACCUCUUUGUUCCUGUGCUGUCACCUGGAUCAGGGGGCAUGGAGUACGGCCUGGGUGAAGAAGAACAGUGAUUAAGAGGAGGAUAGAUUCUUGAAGAGGAGAGUGGAGUGGACUGGGUCUUGUCUGGUACGUUAUACAGUAACAUACAGUACUGUAGCUCCAUACUGUCAACAUACAUUACUGUAGCUCCACACUGUCAACAUAUGGUAUUGUAGCUCCACACUGUCAACAUACAUUACUGUAGCUCCACACUGUCAACAUACGGUAUUGUAGCUCCACACUGUCAACAUACAUUACUGUAGCUCCACACUGUCAACAUACAGUACUGUAGCUCCAUACUGUCAACAUACAGUACUGUAGCUCAACACUGUCAACAUACGGUAUUGUAGCUCCACACUGUCAACAUACGGUAUUGUAGCUCCACACUGUCAACAUACAUUACUGUAGCUCCAUACUGUCAACAUACAUUACUGUAGCUCCAUACUGUCAACAUACAGUACUGUAGCUCCACACUGUCAACAUACAGUACUGUAGCUCCACACUGUCAACAUAUGGUAUUGUAGCUCCACACUGCCAACAUACGGUACUGUAGCUCCACACUGUCAACAUACAGUACUGUAGCUCCAUACUGUCAACAUACAGUACUGUAGCUCCACACUGUCAACAUACAUUACUGUAGCUCCACACUGUCAACAUACAAUACUGUAGCUC
rnacentral:lncRNA from 8 species